rnacentral:lncRNA from 1 species
UAAUUUUAUUGCAUCCGUUUAAAUAUAAUUAUUUUGUAGUAUUUACAUUAUUAAUACAAUAUGGUUUAUUUGUUUGGCUUUUUUUCUGACAAAAUUACAUUUUAACAUAACAAUGGUAUAACAAUGGUACAUAAAUAUUUACAUCAGAAAAAGAAUGAGAUUCAAUAGUAUCAUGAAUUAUGCACAACUAGUACAAAUGUGCCUUAGUAAAAAAAAAUUAAUUAUCUGGCAAUCAAUCUAAGAUAUGACAACUAUAUUAAC